rnacentral:lncRNA from 1 species
AUGAACCUAAUCUAAUUAGAAAUCCAAUUAUCUCAAUAAAUUUCUAAUCCAAUUAGGAAUUGGCUAAUUUCAAACCCUAAUCGAAUCAGGAUCAAAUUUCUCUUGUAAUCAAGAUUGAUCAUGUCAAACCCAAUCUGAGUCGAAUUGAAUAUAAUUCAAUUAGGCUUGAUCCAAAGCUCUUUACUCAAUCAAAUGAAGUCAAUUAGUAAUCUAAUUAUAAAUUAAUUCUCUAUUUAUAAUAGAGUCCCAGUCCUAGUGGGACUCUACUCCAGAGUCCCAGUCUCAGUGGGACUCCUUACCAGAGUCAUAAUUCAAUUGGACUCUUCAGCCAUC